rnacentral:rRNA from 1 species
AUACGGUCAAAUCACGCUGAAACACCGGUUCUCGUACGAUCACCGAAGUUAAGCAGCGUAGAGCCAGGUCAGUACUUAGAUGGGGGACCAGUUGGGAACACCUGGUACUGUAAG